CGUGUGGACGUCUAGGCCAUAUGAAGAGGGAAUGCAGACAUCCCAGGGCCAAGACAGAGCAGCGCAGCGAAAGCUCAUCGCGCGGAAAAGGCCGAGGCAAAGGCAAAGGUCCGGUGUCUAGGACAACGCAGCACAAGGCUAUGGUUUCACGCUUCACUCCAAAGGUUGCAGAGGUCCAGAAGACGUCUAGAUCUUUCUUCGUUGUUGAUUCAGCGGCCACCCACCACAUGUGCAACGAUAAGAAACUGUUUGUGUCUUUUACACCGCAGGAAGGUGCGAUUCACCAGGCGGAUGACCACACUAUUCCCAGUAAAGGCUACGGAACUGUUGUUCUUCACAGUUUGGACUUAUCGAUACAGAAUGUGCUUUACGUGCCAGACGCCAAACAUAAUCUGCUCAGCGUUGGACAGCUGAAUGAGCGGAACAUUGACGUUUCCUUCAAGAACAAGAAGUGCAUCAUCACAAAGAAAAUGAUUAUGUAUUGCAUGCAGAAUAUGUUGAUCAUUUGUUUGUUUUGUAUUAUGAUGAUGUGGUGCAGGAUGACACUUGUUGCAUUGCAGGUUCUAACAAAAGUUUGCAUGCAGAAUGUAUUCACGAUUUUCAUCGCAAAUUUGGUCAUUUGCAUUUUGAGGCAGUAUCUAAAAUGCCUGCCUUGGUUGAAGGUAUGACUAUUAAACCCUGCAGGUACCACAUGAAGUGCAAAGCAUGCGCAGCAAACAAAGUGAAAAUGGCUGCGAAAGGUAAGGUGUCUAGUAGGAAUGCUACAGAACCAUACCAGGUUGUUCAUGCUGAUUUGGUUGGACCAUUAGCGCCCUCUUUGGGUGGAAAUAGAUACUUCAUGGUUCUCAUUGAUGCAUUUUCUAGAUAUAUUUUUGUGUACAAUCUCAAGCAGAAAUCAGAGGCUUUUCCUAGGUUCAAGGAAUUCUGUGCUUGGUUGGAAAAUGUGCAUGGUAAGAAGAUAAAGACUCUUUUCAGUGAUCGCGGGGGGGAAUUCACUUCUCAGCAGUUUGAAGCUUUUCUGACUGAGAAAGGAAUUCAACACGAUUUGUCUAGUCCUCGCUCGCCAUGGCAGAAUGGACUUGCGGAACGGGCAAAUCAGACAUUGCUUCAAGGAUUAAAAACCUUGCUGCAUGAUGCCAAUCUUCCAGAGAGUUAUUGGGCCGAAUCUCUCUCGUGUUUUGUUUACAGUUACAAUCGCAGGUUAUCUUCAGCGAUUGGUUGUACCCCCUAUGAGAAGAUGUUUGGCAAGAAGCCAUACAUCAAACACAUGAAGAUUUUUGGUUCUGACAUGUGGGUUCGCUCACCACAAAACUCCAAGUUAGACAAGCGUGGAUUGCAUGGUAUCUUUCUAGGUUAUCAGAAAGGGUCUUACAGAAUAAUGAUGACUGACUCUAAGACAAUUAAGCUCACGAGAAGUGUCGAGUACAAUGCAAAGUGGGGAGAAUGUGGGAAUUUUCCAAUGUUAUCCUGAUGACGGUGAUGAGACUGAGGAUAGUCAAAAGCAACCACAACAGCCCACACCCACUGAUGAAGGUUCUGAGUCUGAAUCUGAAACUGAAUCGGGUGAUUCAGAGGAUUUCAAGAGUGCGAAAGCCUCUAUGCGACCCUCUGAAAGCUCUGAUCAAGAAUUGGAGGAACCAUUGUUCACAAUAGGUCGUUUUUCUCCUAAGAAGGAAGAGGAGAGUGUUGAAGACUUAAGGCUAAUUCGUAGGUCACAGAGAGCCACAAAAGCAAACCUCCAAAGAGAUUUGCUGAUGAGUUUGCUACGAUAGCAGUAACAGCUGUUAAAAGCUCCAAGAAGGUAUUUGAACCUUCAAGUUUCCAAGAAAUCCAGGGUUUGGAUUCAAAGGAAGCUGAGCCAUGGUUAAAUGCCAUGAAGGCUGAGCUUGAUUCCUUAGAAAGGAACAAAACAUGGGAGCUAGUUCCAGUAGUUCCAGGAAUGAAACUGCUUGGAAGCAAAUGGGUCUUCAAAGCGAAGACAGAUCAAAAUGGCAAGAUAGUCAGACACAAAGCCAGAUUGGUAGCCAGAGGUUUUGCACAGGUACCAGGUGAAGACUAUCACGAGACCUAUUCACCCACAGUGAGAUAUGAAAGCAUUAGGCUUAUGCUCAAGCUAGCUGCAGAGGAAAAUCUACACAUUAGUCACCAUGAUAUUAAUACAGCUUUUCUGUACGGAUCUCUAGAUGAAUCACUUUAUAUGCUUCCACCUGAUGGCGUACAGGUAAAACAGGGAUUUGUUUGUGCUCUGAAGAAAUCCCUUUAUGGUCUCAAACAAAGUGCACGGUGUUGGCACACAAAACUCACUGAAGUAUUAUUUUCUCUAGGUUUUCAGCAAGGGAAAGCUGAUCCAUGUGUAUUUGUCAAAGAGGAGGGGCAAAGAAACUGUACUGUUUGUUUUAUGUUGAUGAUUUAUUAUUCUUUUGGAAAGAUGUCGCAAUGUACAAUAGCGCCCUAGCUCAACUGAAAGAGCACUUUGACAUGAAAGAUCUUGGUGAGGUAAACAACUACCUAUCUCUGGAAAUAGAGAGAGAUCAAGAUGGUAACAUUCUAGUACACCAGUCACGGAAAAUUGCUGAUGUGUUAAGCAAACUAAAUCUGAUGGAUGCUAACCCUGUAGACACACCGAUGACAACAGGUUAUCAGGUAGAUGACACUGAAGAAGCAUUUUCUGACACUACACUGUACAGGAGUGUGCUAGGCAAGCUAAACUUCAUUGCCAGAUGUUCAAGACCAGACAUUGCUGUUAGCUGUAAUUUGCUAAGCAGACAAGUCAACAAUCCUAGUGUCAAGGAUUGGAAAGCUCUGAAACGCAUAGCGCGGUAUUUGAAAGGCACUAUGCAUUACAGACUGAGAUUUAACAAUCAGAAGUCUGGUGGUCUUGAGAUAUUUGCAGAUGCAAGUUUUGGAAGUGACGCUACAGACAGGAAAAGUACGUCUGGAGUUUGCUACAUGUACAAUCAGAGUCUGUUUGAUUGGUCAUGCAAGAAGCAAACAACAGUUAGCUUAAGUACUUGUGAAGCCGAACUGAAUGCACUGUCUUAUUCACUUAAGGAUUGUGAAUGGUUAGUACAAUUGUGCAAAGAUAUGAAAAUUCCUGUCAAAUGUCCAAUCCAGGUUUACCAGGACAACAAAGCAUGUUUGGCUUUGCUGAAGUCUGAAGGUUGUAAGCAAAGCACAAAGCACUUGCAAUUAAAGUUGCAGCAUGCUAGGGAAUGUAUUCAGAAGGGACUCGUAACGGUGUCCUAUAUGCCAGGUAAUGAAAUUCCUGCUGAUGUAUUGUCCAAGAUUGUAUCAAGGGAUCAACACUGUACCUAUGUGCAGAAGUUGGGUUUGUACUGAUAUUGUGCAAACACGCUGCCCAGUGAUGUUCACAGAAAGGGGGAGGAUGUUGGUUUCUGCUUUCCUUCACUGUGCAGCUCUGCUUGUCACGAGACAGGUGUUUACAUUCCACAGUCUGUACUGUUGGAGUUUCUCACGGGAAAGGGAGACUGGAUGUGACGUACACUGGUUUCCUGUUUUCACUGUGUGAUUCUCUCCGAGCUGUCGAGGAGAGAGGAUGCAUUUUCUGCUCCUGCAGAGGCAAGAUGUCUUUCUGUAAUAUACCAGCUUUGAACUGUAAAUAAAGCAAUAUAGAGUAUG